rnacentral:rRNA from 1 species
UCCUGCCAGUAGUCAUAUGCUUGUCACAAAGAUUAAGCCAUGCAUGUAUAAGUUCACACCUUAAUACGGUGAAACCGCGAAUGGCUCAUUAAAUCAGCUAUGGUUCCUUAGAUCUUACAUCCAUACUUGGAUAACUGUGGUAAUUCUAGAGCUAAUACAUGCCAUUAUGCCCUGACUUUACGGAAGGGUGGAUUUAUUAGAACAAAACCAACCACCUUCGGGUGUUGGCUUGAUGACUCUGGAUAACUAUUCUGAUCGCAUGGCCUUGCGCCAGCGACGUAUCUUUCAAAUGUCUGCCCUAUCAACUAUCGAUGGUAGGUGAUAUGCCUACCAUGGUUUUGACGGGUAACGGGGAAUCAGGGUUCGAUUCCGGAGAGGGAGCCUUAGAAAUGGCUACCACAUCUAAGGAAGGCAGCAGGCGCGCAAAUUACCCACUCUCAGCUCGAGGAGGUAGUGACGAAAAAUAACGAUGCAGGACUCUAUUGAGGCUCUGUAAUUGGAAUGAGUACAAUUUAAAUCCUUUAACGAGGAACAAUUGGAGGGCAAGUCUGGUGCCAGCAGCCGCGGUAACUCCAGCUCCAAUAGCGUAUAUUAAAGUUGCUGCAGUUAAAAAGCUCGUAGUUGGAUCUCAGGUAAGGAACUAGUGGUUGGCUUCAUGCUGAACCUUUAGUUUCCGCCUAAUUAGUCGAUUGUUAUCAUGAAUGCUCUUUUAUGAGUGUUCUUGGUACUCGGCACGUUUACUUUGAAAAAAUUAGAGUGCUCAAAGCAGGCCUUGUGCUUGAAUAGUGUUGCAUGGAAUAAUGGAAUAGGACUUCGGUUCUAUUUUGUUGGUUUUCGAAAUCGAAGUAAUGAUUAAAAGAGACAGGCGGGGGCAUCCGUAUGGUGGUGUUAGAGGUGAAAUUCGAUGAUCGCCGCCAGACGAACAACUGCGAAAGCAUUUGCCAAGUAUGCUUUCAUUAAUCAAGAACGAAAGUCAGAGGUUCGAAGACGAUCAGAUACCGUCCUAGUUCUGACCAUAAACGAUGCCAACUGACAAUCGAGGUUCAUUAUAUAUUUUCACCUCGGCAGUCCCUGGGAAACCUUUAAGCUUAUCGGUUCUGGGGGGAGUAUGGUUGCAAAUCCGAAACUUAAAGGAAUUGACGGAAGGGCACCACCAGGUGUGGAGCCUGCGGCUUAAUUUGACUCAACACGGGAAAACUCACCCGGCCCGGACACUGUGAGGAUUGACAGAUUGAUAGCUCUUUCUUGAUUCAGUGGGUGGUGGUGCAUGGCCGUUCUUAGUUGGUGGAGUGAUUUGUCUGGUUAAUUCCGAUAACGAACGAGACUCUAACUUGCUAAAUAGACACAAUGUACUAAUUGCAUUGCUUGUCUUCUUAGAAGGAUUCGCUACGUUUAGUGGCAAGAAAUUGAGCAAUAACAGGUCUGUGAUGCCCUUAGAUGUUCGGGGCCGCACGUGCGCUACACUGACUGUAACAAUGAGUUUUUUCCUACGCCGAGAGGUUUGGGAAACCUUCUGAAUUACAGUCAUGUCAGGGAUUGGGGCUUGUAAUUCUUCCCCAUGAACGAGGAAUACCCAGUAAGCGCAAGUCAUAAGCUUGCGUUGAUUACGUCCCUGCCCUUUGUACACACCGCCCGUCGCUACUACCGAUUGAAUGGUUUAGUGAGGCGUUUGGAUCGAUAUCGAUAGAGUGGUCUCCACUUUGUUGACAUUGAGAAACUCGUCAAACUUGAUCAUUUAGAGGAAGUAAAAGUCGUAACAAGGUUUCCGUAGGUGAACCUGCAGAUGGAU